AUGCAGCGCCACCUCCUCCUCCCCUUCCACCCUCCCACCAAGACUACACCAACUUCAAAGCCUAAUUACUCCCAAUUUGGGCUGUUUCCUUGUUUCUCCAGCAAAAGCCAGAAACUGAGCUUCACAAAGGAAGAUGCCACCGUCCAAGCUGAGACAGAAUUACCUGGAGCCUGUAGGUAUCUGUCCUACAGAUGGCCAUCUUGCUACCUGUUCCUUGAACAUUUGCGAUAUCCUGCGACACCCUGCGACACCCUGGGAUCUGCGGUGGUGCUCCACGGCGCCUUGGCACGCGCUUUCGGAACUAUGAAUCUUGAGUGCGCUGCUCAUGAGACGCGACAGCUGCUCCUGGAUCGCCAAGACCCAAGGCUCUGGAAGCUAUGGGAAGCUAUCGUCAAAGGCUGGCAAACACCCCCAGUAAUGCAGACCUCUGUGUGCAGCCCCACCUCACGCGCCUUUCUGUGUCGGCACCCUAACUUUCCACCCCCUCCACUUAGGACUUGGAGGGCAGGAGAUAUGGCUGAGCCUGUCCUGGUUGCAGGUUGUACUCUUUCUUUUUUGACCACAUCAUGCAGCUUGCAGAAUCUUAGUGCCCCCCCGACCCAGGGAUUGAACCUGGGCCACUGCAGUGAAAGUGCUGAGUACUAA
rnacentral:lncRNA from 1 species